CCACAUGAAAGAGAACAAAGCGGACGUAGUCCCGCCCUUGCAUAUGACGUAACGACGCAUAGUGACCUCACGACGUGCAGCUGCGUACAUUCCCUGCGAGACUGCGCGAGGUCUGCUGUCAGUCACUGGGAGACCGCCAUGUCCAAAGAGCAACAGACCCCCCGUGAGCCUGAGCAGCUCCGAAAGCUCUUUAUCGGGGGUCUCAGUUUCGAGACAACAGAUGAGAGUCUAAGGGCCCAUUUCGAGCAAUGGGGAACUCUUACAGACUGUGUGGUGAUGAGGGACCCCAACACAAAGAGGUCGAGGGGUUUUGGGUUUGUGACCUACAGUUCGGUUGGUGAGGUGGAUGCUGCGAUGGACGCUCGUCCGCACAAAGUGGACGGAAGAGCAGUUGAACCCAAGAGGGCGGUUUCUAGAGAAGACUCGUCCAAACCAGGCGCUCACUCCACUGUUAAAAAGAUUUUUGUGGGCGGAAUCAAAGAAGACACGGAUGAGGAACACUUGCGUGAAUAUUUCGGCCAGUUUGGUAAAAUUGAAGAGGUCAACAUCAUGACAGAGAAGAACAGUGAUAAGAGGAGGGGCUUUGCCUUCAUAACAUUUGAUGACCAUGACUCUGUUGACAGGAUUGUCAUUCAGAAGUACCAUACGGUGAAUGGACACAACUGUGAAGUCAGGAAAGCUCUCUCCAGAGAGGAAAUGAACAGAGUCUCAAUGAAUCCACGAGGUGGGCGAGGGGGUGGUGGCGGAAACUUUGGCAGAGGAGGUGGAUAUGGAGGAGGUGGAUAUGGAGGAGGAGGCGGCGGCGGAGGAAGAGGAGGUUACGGUGGAGGUGAUGGUGGAUAUAAUGGCUAUGGAGGGAAUGGAGGCUAUGGUGGAGGCGGACCUAAUUAUGGUGGUAACCGUGGUUAUGGAGGUGGCGGCGGCGGUGGUGGCGGCUAUGGAAACCAGGGUGGAGGCUAUGGUGGCGGCGGUGGCGGCUAUGAUAACUACAACAACGGUGGUGGAGGCAACUUUGGAGGAGGCAACUUUGGAGGUGGAGGUGGCGGAGACUACAAUGAUUUUGGCAACUACAACCAGUCUUCCUCUAACUACGGCCCAAUGAAGGGAGGAAACUAUGGAGGUGGUGGAAGGAGCGGCGGCGGUGGCCCAUAUGGUGGUGGUUAUGGAGGAGGCUCCAGUGGUGGUUAUGGAGGCAGCUCUGGUGGGCGAACGGUUUUAGACUCCAGGGGAUAUAAACUGGUGGAUUUUAAACCUGUGACAGUUACAGCAAAUACAAAUGGCUGGUGAUCUUGGAAGACUGUCGCAAACACCUAAAACAGCAACUGCACAAACAUUUUAAUUCAUUCCUAUUAUAUGAGACUGUGCUGUUUUACCCACGUUUGCAGAUGGACAGACUGUUUGAAACGGUUAUCAAAUCAUGGAACCAAACAAUGGCUGCAGGACAGCAUUAGAAACAUUGACAUUUUUAAGUGUUACUUUAAAUUUGUGCACAUUAUUUUUUUUUUUAUACUCCUUUUAAUAAAAGUUAACAUUAUGGUGUGGAAUGUUGAAUUUAUUAAUACAGUGUUAUAAAGGAGGGCUUCACACCUAAUUAUACUGUAUUUCGGCAUAUCUGCUAUCAAAUGAGAUUUAAAGCAUAACAUAGGCCAUAGAAAAAUGACUUAUCAAUGUCGUUCAACCUAUCCAAUAUGGUCCAGUGAUAAGGGAUUGGUUAUGUCAACAGAUCAGAUGAGUUGUCUGAGAAAUGUGAACAAUAUUAUACAUUUGAAUAAAAAUAAAAAAAAAAAAAAA